rnacentral:lncRNA from 1 species
CUACAUAAGAAAAUGCCUUUACCAAAACAGGAAUCAUUUCGUUUUAUAUAUUUGAGCUAUUGAUUUUGUCAUUUGAUUAGGGACUUUCUGUCUUGAAUUUCUACGAAGUUCAGUGUUUUUGAGAUUUUACUUUUUUUUUUAAAUAAGUUUGUUUGUUUGACUCUUUGAAUUAGAAUAAUUGAAUGAAUUUGAGUUGUUCCUUUGUAUAAAGCACACAACUGUUAGACCUGAGAGUCUCCGAAAAUAUUCCAAGGUAAAGACAAAAUUGCGAGACAGCAAACUAAAAAAAAAAAAGAAUAUAUUCAGGACUUAGUUAAGUAUAUAUGCAUCCAUUGAUUCAAUUAUAUUAAACUUAUCAUCAAUUUAAAGAAACUGCUUAUCAUUUGAUUGACUUACUCUACAGGUCCUCUGUAACAUUGUAUCACAUAUAAAACAAACAUCAACAACUGAUUUCUUUCUUUUCAAACCUUUUGAGUUAAAUAUUUCGAAAGUUGUUUUUUUUUUUAAAGUUUUGUAGAUCAGCGUGCCCUUUUCAGAAUGAAAUGCAUAUAUAUUAAAGGUAUUUGAUGAAAGAUAUGUGAGAAUAUAUAAUAUGUAUACCAAAUUUAUGUUAAUGAAACACAAAAAAUAUAAAAUUGAAAACUGUUAUCUGAAAAAAACAAAAAAAAAACAGUACCAAUUUGGUGGGCCUGAAAAGCUUCAAAAGCCUCAAAGGCAUUGAACGUAUGAAUACUAGAAUAAUACUCAGCUUAAUGUUUAUGACACAAAGGUUUUUUUUUUCAAAUGAAUAGCAGACUCAUAAAAUGUCAACUGUUUUAGUUAUUGUUCAUGAUGAUAGUUAAGCGAAUAUAUGUUUUAAUCACGUAAAUAAAUGGCACAUAUAAUGGCAGCGCAUUUAAGUCCAGUGCAAAUUAAAAAUGCCUGUAUAGUUUUUUGAAGUCAUAAUUUUCUGUGAUACUUUGACUUGUGAUGGAUUAAAUACUCCAAAUAUCAGACAAAGGCGCUCAUUAGAAUCAAUAUUCUGAAAAGUGAAAAAUAUUUUUCCGUCGCAGAUAAUUAUAAACGAUAAUUCAUCUCUCUCUCUAUCUACCAAAAACCAAACGAUUCGUAAAAUGUAGAACCAGCUUCGUGACUACUUCCACUUGAUUGAGAACAACUCGUCACUGCUGGUUGUUGUCCAUUUCAUUAUGAUUGUUCAAUUUCAAAGUUUCAUGAUAGGUAACAUUAUGGUAUAAAUACAACUCAUGUACUUAUCGAUCAGAUUGAAAUAUUCAUUCCAAAACAACUCUUGCAUUUAAAAAAAAAACACAGCGGAAUUUCCAUAUAAAUCUGAGGUCUAGUAUAGGUAAUACUGAUCUGUAUUGUAAGAUAGACGAUUUUAAAAGGGAGAUAUCAAAACAUGAGGAUUGGUGAAGGAGAUUAAAGUUAAGUUGUAUUAAAUCCAUGUUCAGUCCACCAUUUUUUACAUAAGAAAAUGCCUUUACCAAAACAGGAAUCAUUUCGUUUGAUAUGUUUGAGCUUUUGAUUGGACAUUUGGUUAGGGACUUUCUGUCUUGAAUUUCUACGAAGUACAGUAUUUUUGAGAUUUUACUUUUUUUUUUAAAUAAGUUUGUUUG